CCAGACUCCUACGGGAGGCAGCAGUGGGGAAUAUUGCACAAUGGGGGAAACCCUGAUGCAGCGACGCCGCGUGAGCGAUGAAGUAUUUCGGUAUGUAAAGCUCUAUCAGCAGGGAAGAAGAUGACGGUACCUGACUAAGAAGCCCCGGCUAACUACGUGCCAGCAGCCGCGGUAAUACGUAGGGGGCAAGCGUUAUCCGGAUUUACUGGGUGUAAAGGGAGCGUAGGUGGCAUGGCAAGCCAGAAGUGAAAACCCGGGGCUUAACCCCGCGGAUUGCUUUUGGAACUGUCAGGCUGGAGUGCAGGAGGGGCAGGCGGAAUUCCUGGUGUAGCGGUGAAAUGCGUAGAUAUCGGGAGGAACACCGGCGGCGAAGGCGGCCUGCUGGACCGCGACUGACGUUGAGGCUCGAAAGCGUGGGGAGCGAACAGGAUUAGAUACCCCAGUAU
rnacentral:rRNA from 1 species